GUCCCUGGGAUUAAGGGGGAAGUGGAGGUUUUAAUGAAGCAGACUCCAUUCUUCCGAGGGGUGAAGGGAGAUAACUUUUGAAGGGGAUAAAUGUAAGCAAAUGCUGAACAACAUGCCGAUUCUGAAGGCACAAACCCCCUCCACAGAACUGCAAAUUGAAGACUCAAGGCUCCUGUUUUGUUGAAAAGGGACUUUUGAGCCCAACAAGGGGUGUAUGCCAGAAAAUCCUGUGGUCAGCCCUGAAGGGCAAAACAGAUCUCUGCUGAGCAGAGCAGCAGAGGGAGUGUCAAAGCUGCAUGUUGGAGAUGGGGAAGAAAAAUCUCACCUUGGAUUCAGGAGCUGGAAUUCAUCCUAAACUCACACUUCAGCCUUCUUCUCCCAGGAGGAUCAGCAUCGGGGUAGAGGCGCUAUGGGACAACUCCUUUCCUGGGACAAGGGUAGACACAGGAGAACCUGAAUUUUUAUUAAAAGCUGGAAAACUGAAACCCAAAGGUGGAAAUCUGAUACCAGUGCAUUUCU